rnacentral:rRNA from 1 species
UACAGAGGUCUCAAGCGUUGUUCGGAUUCAUUGGGCGUAAAGGGCGCGUAGGCGGCGGGGUAAGUCGGGUGUGAAAUCUCAGAGCUCAACUCUGAAACUGCACUCGAUACUGCUCUGCUUGAGGACUGGAGAGGAGACUGGAAUUCACGGUGUAGCAGUGAAAUGCGUAGAGAUCAUGAGGAAGACCAGUGGCGAAGGCGGGUCUCUGGACAGUUCCUGACACUGAGGAGCGAAAGCGUGGGGAGCGAACAGG